UGAGGAAUAUUGGUCAAUGGGCGAGAGCCUGAACCAGCCAAGUCGCGUGAAGGAAGACAGUCCUAAGGAUUGUAAACUUCUUUUAUACGGGAAUAACGGGCGAUACGAGUAUUGCAUUGAAUGUACCGUAAGAAUAAGCAUCGGCUAACUCCGUGCCAGCAGCCGCGGUAAUACGGAGGAUGCGAGCGUUAUCCGGAUUUAUUGGGUUUAAAGGGUGCGUAGGUUGUUCGGUAAGUCAGCGGUGAAACCUGAGCGCUCAACGUUCAGCCUGCCGUUGAAACUGCCGGGCUUGAGUUCAGUGGCGGCAGGCGGAAUUCGUGGUGUAGCGGUGAAAUGCAUAGAUAUCACGAGGAACUCCGAUUGCGAAGGCAGCUUGCCAUCCUGCGACUGACACUGAAGCACGAAGGCGUGGGUAUCAAACAGG
rnacentral:rRNA from 1 species